CUUUUUGGUACUGAAAUCUGCUGUAUGUUUUAUGUUUACAGCACAUCUCUCUUGAGUCCAAUCACAUGUCAAGUCCUUAAUAGCUGCACUCGGCUAGUGGCUCCAUUACUGGAAAGCUCAGGUUUAUCCAUCUCUUAGUAUCCGAGACUCUUUUUCUGCAAAAGGUCACCAUGUGACCCGUGAGGUGAAAAGGAAAGUCAGCUGGGGCCGGAUGGGGCUUACACCACUUUUCCAACCUUGUCCUGAAAGCAAAUGUGCUUUCCAGAGCACAUUAAGAAAUGGUAAGGGCAGGGGUCAGAAACUUUUUCUGUGAAGGCCAACAAGCAGAUAUUUUAGGUUUUUCAAGCCAUAUAGUCUCUGUUACAACUACUCAACUCUGCCGUUGUUGCACAAAAGCAGCCGAAGAUAAUAUGUAAACAUAUGAGCAUAACCGUGUUCCAAUAAAACUUUAUUUGCAAAAACAGUUGGCAAGCCUGAUUUGGCCUGUGGGCCAUCGUUUGUCAAUCCCUGGUCAAGAGAAUUAUAGAGACGCCAGCUCUGAUGUUGUAGAUUCACUUCCAGACUUAUUAUACGAGGAAAAAAAAAAAAAUCAAGCCAUUGCAAAUUGGUUUUCCGUGACUUCUGGCUGAAAGUAACCUAAUGGAUAGUUACAAGAUAGAAUCAGUGUGUCAGUUAUAAUUAAUCAUCUCUCCUGAGAUAUGUGCCUUUUAAAAAUAUUAUCACUAAGAGGAUAUGAUGAUCACAGUAAGAUUAAUGCCAUUGGUUGAAAACCACUUGUUUUAAAAACUUUGAUCCUCUCAACUAUCAUUUUUCUAGAUUCAUUGAUCAGGACACUGAAGCCCAAAAAAAAAAAAAAAAAAAAAAAAAAGCAUUGAUUAGGUCAUGUAGUUGAUAACCAGCAGAAAGAGGAUCUGAAUCCAAAUCAUUUAGAACUAUUUUUAAAUCACCUACUAUGUUCCGGCUACUGUUUUCAGUGCUUGGCAAGAUCAGCAAACAGUAACAAAGAUCCCUACCCUUGAGGAGUUUACUGUCUGGAGAAGGGGCAACAGGCGAUAAACAACCUGCCCUGAGUUAGGAGGGUGUCUGCACCCCCAAGUUCACUGCAUUGUUAUCCACCAUGACCAAGAUGUGGAAACAACUUGAGUGUCCUCAGGCAGAUAAAGGGACAUGUAAUGAUGUAAUAUGUAAUAUGUAAUAAUAUAACAAUAAUGUAAUAUAUAUGUAUAUAUAAUGAAAUAUAUAUAUGUAUAUAUAUAAUGAAAUAUUGUUUAACCUUUAACAGAGAAAGAAAUCCUGCCCUUUGUGACAACAUGGGUGGACCUUGAAGGCAUUAUGCUAGGCAAACUAAGCAAAACACAGAACAAGAAAUACUGCAUGAUCUCAUUUAUAUGUGGAAUCCAAAAUAGUCAGACUCAUAGAAGCAGAAUGAAGAAUGCUGGCGGUGGGGGGGCUGGGGUGCGGGGAGAGGAAAUGGAACGAUAUGGGUCAAGGGCACAAAGUUGCAGUUAUGCAAGAUAAAUAAGUUCUGGAGGUCUAAUACGGAGACGGUGAUGAGAGUUAACAAUACUGUAUUGUAUACUUGAUAUUUGUAAGAGGAUAGAUCUUAAAUCUUCUCAAUAGACACGUGCAAACGGUAACUGUGUAGAGGUGAUAAAUAUGUUAAUUGGCUUGAUAGUGGUGAUCAUUUCACAAUGUAUGUGCAUAUGAAAACAUCAGGUCACGCAUCUUAAGUACAUACAAUUUUUAAUGUCAGUGGUACCUCAAUAAAGCUGUUAAAAAUCUAUAUAAAGAGGAGGAAGUCAGGCAGGAAUCUUCCCACUGUGCGGCCUGCCUCUUUGCACUUCUUUGAAUUGCGUUUAUCACAGGCUACCUUAUGUAAGGAUGACGUGAAUGUCUGUGUGCAUUUCCCCCUCAAUUACAGCCUCUUGGCAGGGAGGGCCUCUAUUUCACUGAUCUUAAUACAGCCACAGCAAACAGCAGGCACUCAAUGCUUGUUGGAGAAAAAUCCAGUCGAUUUCACUUUGGCAUCAGCUAUUCAGUUGGAAGCAGCUCAAGAAACAUAUGGAUAUCAGAGAGGAGGGUGAGUGGCUUUCAAGGUCCAACUAAGGAGGUCACCUGAUCAUUCAGUGUUUGAAAGACACCAGCCAGCCACAGGCAUCCAUCUAACUGACCGGGCCAAUGAAAGACGAGAGCCAGCAGCGGCAUGUGCUGGAAAGAACACAACACCAGAGACGAGCUGAUUUGAUUCCAGAGGACUGAAGUAUCUAAAUGCAACAUCCAGGCCAGGCAUGCCCUGGCAAAGGACAGCCCCUUCUCAACAUGUGAAGCAUGGGACGAAGGUCCCGAUCUGAGGAAUUCGGAUCCUUUCUUGCAUGAGCCGUGGAUCUGAGUUUGAAUCUUGGCUGUAUUCCUAAUGAGUGAUCUGGGAAUGUUGAAGCAGGCUGGAGUGGGACGAUCCUUCCAGGUGGAUAGCUCUGGCAAAGCUCUUCUGAAGGUCAGGCCUUUGUAAUGGAGAAGGCUCCUGGUGUAUUUCCCUCCUGCUGGCAGAGCCAAGAAGGGAUCUUUCUUGGAUCUUCAGCAUGUGAACCUGGUAGGGUUCCUGGAGGUAAAACUCACAAAAGCGUGGGUCCUUCUAAGGCUGUGGCCUCCAGGAGUUUCUCACUCUCAUGGUCAUCCACACUGAGCCUCCAGCAAUUUGUCAAAAUUGCCUUCUGAGUCUUCCUACCAGCUUACGACCCCAAAAAUUUAUCUUCUGGGUAAGCAGAUCUCACCUGUGUCUCUCUGGAUUUUAGGGUGGCAGUUUCUCUUACAACUACGGCCAUCCCAUGAGUCAAAAAACUUCAUUGAUUUUUCACGUUGUCCAAUUUUUUCUUGGUGUAAGGACGGGAAUAAAAAUUUCCAAGCUCUUUACAUGUCCAAGUUGAAACUGACAGCCCUGUAUUGACUUUAAAAAAUGUUUAUUUAUUUAUUUAUUUAUUUGGAGGGGUGGGCAGAGAGAGAGGGAGAGAACCCCAGGCAGCUUGUGCUAUCAGUGCAGAUCCUGACAUAAGGCUCAAUCUUACAAACCAUGAGAUCAUGACUUGAGCCAAAAUCAAGAGUCAGAUACUUAACCAACUUAGCCACCCCCCCCCAUAUACCCCCCAUAUUGACUUUUUUAAAGAGUGCACCUGAUUAUGUCCGGAUCACUCAGAAUAAACUCCCUUUUCAUUAGUCUAAUCCCAGGAGAGAAAUUCCAUGUGCACAUACAUAUCACCCACACUCAAUGGGAGGAGACUACAUAUAGUAUAUACACCAGGGGGUGGGAAUCUUGGGGGGCAUAUUAAAAUUCUGCCUACUACAACUUGCCAGAGUAGGUGACAUUUGAAGUUAGUUUUAAAAAAACAAGUGGAAUGAACUGACCCGGAAGUGGGGGGAGCACACAAGGCAGAAAGAAUUGCACAUAAAAGAAAGAGAAGUCAUUGAAAAAUGCCAUCGAGAUCCAGAUGCUAUGUCCAAACUCAUCAAACUGUACACAUUACAUACAUGCAGAUUUUUGUCUACCAAUUAUAGCUCAAUAAAGCUAAAAGAAAAAUCCAGGCAUUGACUUCCUUUACUUUGGGAUUGUGUCUUGAAGUUUUUGGUUGGAGAAAUGUCCUUAGGAACUCACUUUGAGAACACACAUAGCUAGCUAGCAAUAGUUAAAAAUAAAGAAUUCUCUCCAUCAACCAAGAAAACCUCAGAUUAUUAGUUUUGAACAACAGGAGGUCUAGGUCACCCGAGGCUCCCAGUGAAUGCUUGCCUGGAGUCAUGGUAGUUGGGUUGACAGAUAUGGUUCUUUCCUUCCAGAAAUGCUGCCACCUUGGUUCUAAUGAACCAAAGCUUUAAUGAGCAAGGUCUUUCCAAAGAAGUGUUGUGUCUCUUCGAGUAAGUCUUGUUAAACCUUUUCCUUAUUUUUUUCCCUCAAACAGAAGUUAAAACAGCAACAACAAAGCCACCCUGCACCCCCGUUUGGUCCAGGGGGAAAGUUGGGAUAAUUCUCGAUUGUUUCCCAUUUGUAAUUAUAGAAAUGCCAUUCUUUUCUUGGACUGUCAUGUUACGGGACAUUUCUAGUGAAGAUGUUUACAUUCCCGCAACACAUUCAGAACACGCGAGGCAGCCGCUCUGCAGGAA